CAGCAGCCGCGGUAAUUCGGAGGGUGCAAGCGUUAAUCGGAAUUACUGGGCGUAAAGCGCACGCAGGCGGUUUGUUAAGUCAGAUGUGAAAUCCCCGGGCUCAACCUGGGAACUGCAUCUGAUACUGGCGAGCUUGAGUCUCGUAGAGGGGGGUAGAAUUCCAGGUGUAGCGGUGAAAUGCGUAGAGAUCUGGAGGAAUACCGGUGGCGAAGGCGGCCCCCUGGACGAAGACAGACGCUCAGGUGCGAAAGCGUGGGGAGCAAACAGGAUUAGAUACCCUGGUAGUCCACGCCGUAAACGAUGUCGACUUGGAGGUUGUGCCCUUGAGGCGUGGCUUCCGGAGCUAACGCGUUAAGUCGACCGCCUGGGGAGUACGGCCGCAAGGUUAAAACUUAAAUGAAUUGACGG
rnacentral:rRNA from 1 species